AUAAUGAAAACGGGGAGCUGGUGUAAACUGGCUGAGAACAGAAUGUAUCUUCUGGACCCAUAACCUGAUUUGGAUAAUGCCAACGUAGGGUAAUAACGAGAAAUUUACU
rnacentral:ncRNA from 1 species